GCCCAGCAGCUGGAGAACACGUGCCCAGCACCCAGCAAGGCCCACAUGCAGAAUAAGGACUGCCACCACGCGCCAGCAUGAGGAACUGGGAGGGCAAAUCAGCCAGCGACAUUCAGGGAGGUGGUUUAGCUUCACUUGUUUAAUCAAGAGCUCCAGAGCUGAACGUGCAAAAAUUCUGUGCUGCAUUUUACUGAGAAAAUAAGAGAUCUGAUCAGAAGAUCUGACACUGGAGGAUGAUGUUGGAAAUAGAAAGACAAAAUGGUCAGGCAAGUGGAGUACUGGGCUAAGAUUGAGCUUUGUGAUCCAAUCCUUCAACUUGCAGCCACUCCUCACCCUUGGCAUGAGGAUGAGGUGACACAAGGGUAUACAGCCACGUAUGGUCCCAAUUCCUCUGCGAGAUGUAAGAUGUGCCUUGGCUCUGCGACAGCCACAGGACUUGUUGAAAGAGAUGCAAACCAAAGAAGACUGGCACAGCUUGUACUGUCUUAUCCAGUCUAGCUUCAUUCUGUCAGGGAACAUCAAUUAAAUCAGAUGAAGAAAUUAGGGAGCUUUUGUAGAGCUGGUGAGU